UACGGAAGGCAGCAGUGGGGAAUCUUGCGCAAUGGGCGAAAGCCUGACGCAGCCAUGCCGCGUGAAUGAUGAAGGUCUUAGGAUUGUAAAAUUCUUUCACCGGGGACGAUAAUGACGGUACCCGGAGAAGAAGCCCCGGCUAACUUCGUGCCAGCAGCCGCGGUAAUACGAAGGGGCUAGCGUUGCUCGGAAUUACUGGGCGUAAAGGGCGCGUAGGCGGAUCGUUAAGUCAGAGGUGAAAUCCCAGGGCUCAACCCUGGAACUGCCUUUGAUACUGGCGAUCUUGAGUAUGAGAGAGGUAUGUGGAACUCCGAGUGUAGAGGUGAAAUUCGUAGAUAUUCAGAAGAACACCAGUGGCGAAGGCGACAUACUGGCUCAUUACUGACGCUGAGGCGCGAAAGCGUGGGGAGCAAACAGGGAUUAGAUACC
rnacentral:rRNA from 1 species